UGCGAUGUUGUGUCAUACACAUUACAUUCG
rnacentral:piRNA from 1 species